CCUACGGGAGGCUGCAGUGGGGGAUAUUGCACAAUGGGGGAAACCCUGAUGCAGCGAUGCCGCGUGAAUGAAGACGGCCUUCGGGUUGUAAAGUUUUGUCGCAGGGGACGAAAAUGACGGUACCCUGCAAGAAAGCUCCGUCUAACUACGUGCCAGCAGCCGCGGUAAUACGUAGGGAGCAAGCGUUGUCCGGAAUUACUGGGUGUAAAGGGAGCGUAGGCGGGAGGAUAAGUUGAAUGUGAAAUCUAUGGGCUCAACCCAUAGCUGCGGUUAAAACUGUUCUUCUUGAGUGAAGUAGGGGCAGGCGGAAUGCGUGGUGUAGCGGUGAAAUGCGUAGAUAUUAGGAAGAACACCGGUGGCGAAGGCAGCCUGUUGGGGUUUUACUGACGCUGAGGCUCGAAAGCGUGGGUAGCGAACAGGAUUAGAUACCCUAGUAGUC
rnacentral:rRNA from 1 species